rnacentral:rRNA from 1 species
CCUCCCCUGUAACAGACUAAGAGCUAUUUAAAGGGGGUACAGCCCCUUUAAUAGAGGACACAACCUCCACCAGCGGAUAACUUCCCCCACAUCACACCCCGUGGGCCCUAAAGCAGCCACCCCUAAAGAGUGCGUCAAAGCUCCAAACCAAAAAUUCAAAAACGACACGACUCCCUACACCCUCAGCAAGCCAACCUAUCCCCAUAGGUGAAUCAAUGCUAGAACGAGUAACCAGGAUACCCCAUCCCCUUAAGCGCCAGCCUACACACCAUUAACAGCACAAACCACAAUACCAACCCCCCAACAUUGAACACAUCCUGUCAACCCAACCCAGGGGCGCGCAACUAGGACGAUCUCAAUCUGCAAAAGGAACUCGGCAAACCCAAGGCCCGACUGUUUACCAAAAACAUAGCCUUCAGCCAGACAAGUAUUGAAGGUGAUGCCUGCCCAGUGACACUUAGUUCAACGGCCGCGGUAUCCUAACCGUGCAAAGGUAGCGCAAUCAAUUGUCCCAUAAAUCGAGACUUGUAUGAACGGCUAAACGAGGCCUUAGCUGUCUCCUGCAGACAAUCAGUGAAACUGAUCUCCCCGUGCAAAAGCGAGGAUGCACACAUAAGACGAGAAGACCCUGUGGAACUUCAAAAUCAAUAGCCACCACACACCCAGCCCCAAACCUACUGGCCCAUCACCAAACAACGCUGGCUAAUAUUUUUAGGUUGGGGCGACCUUGGAGAAAAACAGACCCUCCAAAAUCAAGGCCACAACCCUUAACCAAGAGCCACCCCUCAACGUACCAACAGUACUCAGACCCAAUAAAAUUGAUCAAUGGACCAAGCUACCCCAGGGAUAACAGCGCAAUCUCCCCCAAGAGCCCCUAUCGACGGGGAGGUUUACGACCUCGAUGUUGGAUCA